GUAACAAGGUUUCCGUAGGUGAACCUGCGGAAGGAUCAUUAUUGAAUAAACUUGGUUGGGUUGUUGCUGGCUCCUCGGAGUAUGUGCACGCCUAGCGCCAUUUUUACCACCUGUGCACCUUUUGUAGACCUGGAUAUCUCUCGAGGAAACUCGGUUUGAGGACUGCUGUGUGAAAGCCAGCUUUCCUUGCAUUUCUGGGUCUAUGUUUUUAUAUACCCCAUAAGAAUGUAACAGAAUGUCGUUUACUGGCCUUUGUGCCUUUAAUCAAAUACAACUUUCAGCAACGGAUCUCUUGGCUCUCGCAUCGAUGAAGAACGCAGCGAAAUGCGAUAAGUAAUGUGAAUUGCAGAAUUCAGUGAAUCAUCGAAUCUUUGAACGCACCUGGCGCUCCCUGGUAUUCCGGGGAGCAUGUCUGUUUGAGUGUCAUUAAAUUCUCAACCUUUCCAGCUUUUGCGAGCUUGGUCAGGCUUGGAUGUGGGGGUUGCGGGCUUCUCAGAAGUCGGCUCUCCUUAAAUGCAUUAGUGAAACCUUUGUUGAUCAUCUCUUGGUGUGAUAAUUAUCUACGCCAUUGGAGUGUCAGCCUCAACUCUGUUGAGAGGUUCUGCUUCUAACUGUCCCUCUAGGGACAACUUCUGACCUUUGACCUC
rnacentral:rRNA from 1 species